UUCUUGGCAGUCCAGUGGUUAAGUCUCUGCACUUUCACUGCAGGGGGCCUGGGUUCAAUCCCUGGUCAGGGAA
rnacentral:tRNA from 1 species